AUUAUUCAUCUACACAAAACACACGUUACAAUUUACAACAUCUAAAAAACAAUUUUAAAAAUAAAAGUGCUUAUAUAAAAAAUACUUUAUAAUUCGUUUGAUUGUUGAAUCGAAAAUACACUUCACAAUCUUCACAUGCGUUUGUAUGAGCAUUAUUUGUCUACACGAAACACACGCUACAAGUUACAACUUACAAAAAAAAGUAAAAAAAAAAAUACAAUUGUAUAAAAAUACCUCAUAAUUCGGUUGAUCAUUGAAUUGAACAUACUCUUCCCAAGUCGUCAUUACCUAAAUAAUAGUAAAAUCCUUGUGUUUAUAACUUUUUUUGAUGAAAACUUCUACUUAUAGUAAGUAUUUUUAAUAUGUGAAAAUAAAUAAGCACACACUAUAAAAAAA
rnacentral:lncRNA from 1 species